rnacentral:rRNA from 1 species
UACGAAGGGGGCUAGCGUUGCUCGGAAUUACUGGGCGUAAAGCGCACGUAGGCGGCUUUCUAAGUCGGAGGUGAAAUCCUGGAGCUCAACUCCAGAACUGCCUUCGAUACUGGAGAGCUUGAGUCCGGGAGAGGUGAGUGGAACUGCGAGUGUAGAGGUGAAAUUCGUAGAUAUUCGCAAGAACACCAGUGGCGAAGGCGGCAUCCUGGACCAAUAUUGACGCUGAGGAGCGAAAGCCAGGGGAGCAAACGGG